CAUGACAAGGGAAAUUACAAUGUGAGUCCGGGUGACACCUAGACAAAGAGGACCUUAAGUCACCUCUGUACAAACAUUAUGUAUGUUCUGUAAACUAUAAGCCUGACAUUGAAUUCCCCACACCAGAGAGUAUCAGGGCACUUUUCUUCCAUAAAGCAUUUUGGUAACUGAGCCACUUAUUAGUUAUGUGGAGUUUUUGGCAUGGACUAUUUUUCUUUGAGAACAAACAACAGUUUGGGCUGGAGAUGCAGUGAACAUGAGGCCCUAUGUUCCAUCACAAGGCAAACAGAGGGUGGUGUGUGUGUGUGUGUGUGUGUGAAAGAGAGAGAGAGAGAGAGAGAGAGAGAGAGAGAGAGAGAGAGAGAGAGAGAGCGCCUGUUAGUAGGGUGAGUGAGAACUUUGGCGUCAUCAAAUUUGAGCAAUACUUAUCCAUGCUGGUAAAGAGGCCCAAACGUCUCCAUGAGUCAGAUGGUAAC